CCUACGGGAGGCAGCAGUGAGGAAUAUUGGUCAAUGGACGAGAGUCUGAACCAGCCAAGCAGCGUGAAGGAUGACUGCCCUAUGGGUUGUAAACUUCUUUUAUAUGGGAAUAAAAUGUUCCACGUGUGGGCUUUUGUAUGUACCUUAUGAAUAAGGAUCGGCUAACUCCGUGCCAGCAGCCGCGGUAAUACGGAGGAUCCGAGCGUUAUCCGGAUUUAUUGGGUUUAAAGGGAGCGUAGGUGGAUUGUUAAGUCAGUUGUGAAAGUUUGCGGCUCAACCGUAAAAUUGCAGUUGAAACUGGCAGUCUUGAGUACAGUAGAGGUGGGCGGAAUUCGUGGUGUAGCGGUGAAAUGCUUAGAUAUCACGAAGAACUCCGAUUGCGAAGGCAGCUCACUGGACUGAAACUGACACUGAGGCACGAAAGUGUGGGUAUCAAACAGGAUUAGAUACCCUUGUAGUC
rnacentral:rRNA from 1 species